AAAUGGAUGUAUCAUUGUUAGAGGAAUGUGGUGUAGGUGAAUAUUAUAAACCUGGUGUUUGUGUCAUCUUAUCUCAGUCAACUACCAGCUGCCAGUAAACUACAAACAUUUCAGUGUAGUAGUCUAGAAUCUUCCAGUGACAUAGAAACAAUGUUACAAACAUUAUCAUUGUUAUAUCAUGUGAAAGUUGUUGGGUUGUAUUACAUCAAACUAGGUGAAAGAUCAUUAACACUGUCACCUCAAAUGAUCAAUAUUGAACGUGUUCACUUGUUUUAUAUAACAAUGUCUUGUUCAGUGUUAUAUGAUCUCAUUACUGUUAUAAACAAACUACCACAUACAGUGACAGUAUGGAUGUAUGGUUGUGAUAUAAAACCAGAAACAGAAUUUGAAAACUUUAAAACAUUUAUAAAACAAUCAGACAAUUUUGUGUUCACCUAUGAUGGCCCCUCGAAGUCUGGAGAGUACAGGUUUGUGUUUAAAACAACAACAAGUACUGAGUAACUUUAAAUGAACUUGUGAGAAACAAUUUAUAAAUAGAUUAUGAGACAAGUGACAGGUGAAAUAGACAUCAUUUUUUAUUUAAUCAAUAUUCUCAGGUGAAUGUUUUAUAGAGAUGGAUACAAACACCAACCUGAAAAAAAUAUUUUAAUUAUAAAGAGAACUAGAGAGUCAUUUUUGAUGUACGACACAAUGGAAUUAUCCUCAAUUUAGUGAUGAUUGAUCUUAUGCGUUGAAAGUCUAAAGUGCACUUUAAUAGAUAUGUACAUGCACCUACUCGACAUGUGCACCUGUAUGACAAACUAAAGGAUCCCUUACUGUACAAUUGCUGUAUCACACCGUACAAUCAAAUGGGCAGACAGCUGUUCCAGCGUCCACAGCUGUACCAGUAUAUACAUGUCGGCGCGGGGAAUACAAUUGACGUAC